UACGAAGGGGGCUAGCGUUGCUCGGAAUCACUGGGCGUAAAGCGCACGUAGGCGGCUUUUUAAGUCAGGGGUGAAAUCCUGGAGCUCAACUCCAGAACUGCCUUUGAUACUGAGAAGCUCGAGUCCGGAAGAGGUGAGUGGAACUGCGAGUGUAGAGGUGAAAUUCGUAGAUAUUCGCAAGAACACCAGUGGCGAAGGCGGCUCACUGGUCCGGUACUGACGCUGAGGUGCGAAAGCGUGGGGAGCAAACAGG
rnacentral:rRNA from 1 species